rnacentral:rRNA from 1 species
AAUAGAUACCCUGGUAGUCCACGCCGUAAACGAUGGAUACUAGCUGUCCGGCGCAAGCUGGGUGGCUAAGCGAAAGUGAUAAGUAUCCCACCUGGGGAGUACGUUCGCAAGAAUGAAACUCAAAGGAAUUGACGGGGGCCCGCACAAGCGGUGGAGCAUGUGGUUUAAUUCGAUGAUACGCGAGGAACCUUACCAGGGCUUAAAUGUAGUGGGACAGGUCCAGAGAUGGGCCCUUCUUCGGACUCAUUACAAGGUGCUGCAUGGUUGUCGUCAGCUCGUGCCGUGAGGUGUCAGGUUAAGUCCUAUAACGAGCGCAACCCCUGUCGUUAGUUGCCAGCGAGUGAAGUCGGGAACUCUAACGAGACUGCCGGUGCAAACCGUGAGGAAGGUGGGGAUGACGUCAAAUCAUCACGGCCCUUACGUCCUGGGCUACACACGUGCUACAAUGGCCGGUACAGAGAGCAGCCACGCCGCAAGGCGGAGCGAAUCUACAAAACCGGUCACAGUUCAGAUCGGGGUCUGCAACUCGACCCCGU